rnacentral:rRNA from 1 species
UACGUAGGUGGCAAGCGUUGUCCGGAAUUAUUGGGCGUAAAGCGCGCGCAGGCGGCUCUUUAAGUCUGAUGUGAAAGCCCACGGCUCAACCGUGGAGAGUCAUUGGAAACUGGGGGACUUGAGUACAGAAGAGAAGAGUGGAAUUCCACGUGUAGCGGUGAAAUGCGUAGAGAUGUGGAGGAACACCAGUGGCGAAGGCGACUCUUUGGUCUGUAACUGACGCUGAGGCGCGAAAGCGUGGGGAGCAAACAGG